GUCUACGGCCAUGCCACCCUGAACACGCCCGAUCCCGUCUGAUCUCAGAAGCUAAGCAGGGUCGGGCCUGGUUAGUACUUGGAUGAGAGACCACCUAGGAAGACCAGGUGCUGUAGGUG
rnacentral:rRNA from 1 species